AUCUAUGGUCAGGCACCCUAAACAGGCCUCAUCUAUUGUGAUCUCAGAUGCUAAGGAGGGUCUGGCCUUGUUUGUUAGUACUUGAAUGCAAGACCAUGGGGGAUACCAGUUGCUGUAGGCU
rnacentral:rRNA from 1 species